rnacentral:rRNA from 1 species
AAUCAACGCUGGCGGCGUGCCUAACACAUGCAAGUCGAACGCGAAAGCCCCUUCGGGGGUAAGUAGAGUGGCGUCCGGGUGUGUAACACGUAGGUAAUCUACCUUCGGGUGGGGAAGUAACCAGUCGAAAGAUUGGCUAAUACCGCAUAAUGCAGCGGCACCUAAUGGUGAUUAGUUGUUAAAGCGGGGGAGUCGUAAGACCUCGCGCCUGAAGAGGAGCCUGCGGCAGAUUAGCAGUUGGUGAGGUAAUGGCUCACCAAGGCUUCGAUCUGUAGCUGGUCUGAGAGGACGGCCAGCCACACUGGCACUGACACACGGGCCAGACUCCUACGGGAGGCAGCAGUGGGGAAUUUUGGGCAAUGGGCGAAAGCCUGAUCGAGCGACGCCGCGUGCGGGAUGAAGUCC